CAUGCAAGUCGAACGAUGAAGCGGUGCUUGCACCGUGGAUUAGUGGCGAACGGGUGAGUAAUACGUGAGUGACCUACCUUUGACUCUGGGAUAAGCCUGGGAAACUGGGUCUAAUACCGGAUACGACCAAUCUCUGCAUGGGGUGUUGGUGGAAAGCGUUAUGGAGUGGUUUUAGAUGGGCUCACGGCCUAUCAGCUUGUUGGUGAGGUAAUGGCUUACCAAGGCGACGACGGGUAGCCGGCCUGAGAGGGUGACCGGCCACACUGGGACUGAGACACGGCCCAGACUCCUACGGGAGGCAGCAGUGGGGAAUAUUGCACAAUGGGCGCAAGCCUGAUGCAGCGACGCCGCGUGAGGGAUGACGGCCUUCGGGUUGUAAACCUCUGUUAGCAUCGAAGAAGCGAAAGUGACGGUAGGUGCAGAGAAAGCGCCGGCUAACUACGUGCCAGCAGCCGCGGUAAUACGUAGGGCGCGAGCGUUGUCCGGAAUUAUUGGGCGUAAAGAGCUUGUAGGCGGUUGGUCGCGUCUGCUGUGAAAGGCCGGGGCUUAACUCCGGUUUUGCAGUGGGUACGGGCUAACUAGAGUGCAGUAGGGGAGACUGGAAUUCCUGGUGUAGCGGUGGAAUGCACAGAUAUCAGGAGGAACACCGAUGGCGAAGGCAGGUCUCUGGGCUGUAACUGACGCUGAGAAGCGAAAGCAUGGGGAGCGAACAGGAUUAGAUACCCUGGUAUUCCAUACCUUAAACGUUCGGCACUAGGUGGGGGGGACAUUCGACGUUUUCCGCGCCGUAGCUAGGAACAUUAAGUGCCCCGCCUGGGGAGUACGGGCGCAUGGCUAAAACUCAAAGGAAUUGACGGGGGCCCGCACAAGCGGCGGAGCAUGCGGAUUAAUUCGAUGCAACGCGAAGAACCUUACCAAGGCUUGACAUGCAUUAGAUCGCGUCAGAGAUGGCGUUUCCCUUCGGGGCUGGUGUACAGGUGGUGCAUGGUUGUCGUCAGCUCGUGUCGUGAGAUGUUGGGUUAAGUCCCGCAACGAGCGCAACCCUCGUUCUAUGUUGCCAGCGGUUCGGCCGGGGACUCAUAGGAGACUGCCGGGGUUAACUCGGAGGAAGGUGGGGAUGACGUCAAAUCAUCAUGCCCCUUAUGUCUUGGGCUUCACGCAUGCUACAAUGGCCGGUACAGAGGGUUGCGAUACUGUGAGGUGGAGCUAAUCCCUUAAAGCCGGUCUCAGUUCGGAUUGGGGUCUGCAACUCGACCCCAUGAAGUCGGAGUCGCUAGUAAUCGCAGAUCAGCAACGCUGCGGUGAAUACGUUCCCGGGCCUUGUACACACCGCCCGUCAAGUCACGAAAGUUGGUAACACCCGAAGCCGGUGGCCUAACCCUUGUGGGGGGGAGCCGUCGAAGGUGGGAU
rnacentral:rRNA from 1 species